AGUCGUAACAAGGUAUCCGUAGGUGAACCUGCGGAUGGAUCAUUACCAAAGAAGUCCUUUGACGUCUUGUGAAUCGUAUUUUUUGUCAGUGCGGUUUUUUUCGCCCUUUGUUUUUCGAAGGGUUCGAAGGGUCGUGCUGGCUAUAUAAACAACAUACACGUAUACCCUUUAACCAGAGUCACUUUAGCCUAAAACUAAAGACAACUUUUAGCAACGGAUCUCUUGGCUCUC
rnacentral:misc_RNA from 1 species